AAGUUGUAAAAUGAAUGAUUCUAGAUCAUAUGUUCACUGGUCACCUAGUACACACAGACACUCAGCUGCAAUGGGGGAUGGUCACUGGUUUAUCUCAGAUAUCCCAGAACCGAAGCCAGGUAGGUCACUGAUAAAAUAUUGCCUAAUGUUAGACUGAAAGCAGGCACUCAGAAAGGACAGGUCCCUGCCUGAACCCAUGCGUAAGGAAAGGCUUGGAGCCACGGUAGCAGGUAAUUUAUAAAGAUCCCAGAACAGAUCCCUGUGGAACACCACUGGUCACCGACCUCCAUAUGAGGGCAGGUUGGACACACAUCGGAGGUGGGGAGAGAACAGAAGGUGACACCAAUAAAUUUUGAUGAGGGAAGAGGAAGUUCUGGCAUUUGGAGUUCGGUGUGUGGUAGAGAACAUGCUGACAUGCCGAACGACAGUGUGGUACUCUGUCUGCAGCAAGACCGAUCACAAAGUGCUCCAGCCAGUGAUUAGGAUGGCUCAGCACAUCACUGGGACUCAACUACCGGACCUGGAGACAAUCUACAACUCUCGAUGCUCGUAACAUCAUUAAAGACCCAUCCCAUCCCGGACACUGUCUGUUCAAUCUUCUGCCAUCUGGUAGGAGAUACAGAAUCAUCUUAGCCAAGGCAGUAAGACUGAAAAACAGCUUCUUCCCCAGGGCUGUAGUUUAGCUGAAUAAUGCUACACCCUGGCUUGCCAAUGGCCUUUGUGUGUUAUGGACUAACAAAGUCACUUGUUCUGUGUAAAUAUAGAAUUUUUUUAAUUAAGCCGCACUGCAUGCAUUGUAAAACCUGUUUUGCACAGACUGGAGUAACUCCACAAUCUCACUGUCCUGAGCAAUGACAAUAAAGUUCUGUUCUUUUCUAUUCUACAAUAGAAUUUAUGAAAAACUUAGAUAAACAAAGACUGACAACCAAUGUACAAAAGGAGACAAAUCGUACAACCUCAUAAAUGAAAUCACACCUUACUAUAUAUCCAAGCUGGAUCCAGUUUUAGAGUCAGAAAACCACAAAUUACAUUAUAACUGAUCAGUUAUUACAGAUAGAACAAUCCAUAAUAACUGUCCGGAUACAAUAAUACAGGAUAAACAAGCAAGAGAAACUUACUUAGUACAUACAGCCAUUCCAAUCACUCAUAAUAUACAAAAAUCAAUAAAUGAAAAACAUCAGAAAUAUGUUGAAUUAAAGAGGAAAAUGAAAGAUUUUGGAACAUGAAUAGUGUAUACAUUGUCCGAAUAGUCAUACCUACAACUGGUAACAUCCUAAAGUCACUACACAAUAGCAUUAAACAAUUAAGCCUACAGAGCAAUAUCUAUGUUAGUCUUCAGAAAGCCACAAUACUAAACACCACGAGAAUAGUCCGAAAGUUCCUAGCAAUUGAGAAAUAAGCGUGCUUGGGUAUGCCCGUACCUCAGGUUUUACCAGCUUGAGCUGAGAAAAAAUAAAUAAUAAUAAUAAUAAUAGCAAAUAGGUAAAUAAAUAAUACUGAGAACAUGAGUUCUCAGUAUUGGGUACCACGGUAGUGUAGCAGUUAGGAUGAUGCUAUUACAUCUCGGGCAUUCCAGAGUUUGGAGGUCAAUUCUUGUGCUGUUCUGUAAGAAGUCUCUGUACAUCCUCCCCACAGAAUGUGUGAGUUUUCUCCGGGUCCUCUGGUUUCCUCCCACAGUCCAACGUUGCACCGGUAGGUUAACUGGUCAUUGUAAAUUGUCCCGUGAUUAGGUGAGGAUUAAUCGGGCUUGCCAGGGCUUGGUGAGGCCGUGUGGCUCGAAGGACCGGAAGGUCCUACCCACACCGUGUCACUGAAUAAAUGAAAUAAAGAGUAGAGACCUUGAAAGUGAGCCCAUCGGUUGUGGAAUCAGUUUAGCGUUGGUCUCCAGACUUCACAAUCUACCUCAUUAUGAUCUUGUACUUUAUUGUUUGCCUGCAAUGCAUUAUCUCGGUAGAUCUGACACUUUAUUUGCAUUCUGUUAUUGUUUUACCUUGUCUACUGCAGUGCACUGUGUAAAGAUUUGAUCAUAAACAGUAUGCAGAAAAGCGUUUCACCGUAUCUAGGGUCAAAGACAAUAAUAACAAACCAGCCUAUGUCGCUCCAAACCUUUCCAGUCGGGUACCUGUACAAAUUCCUUUUAAAUGUUGAUAAUAAACUUUUGCCCAUGUGCACCCAAGUAUCCUGCUUAGUGUUAUGCCUACUAUUUAUCGAAAAAUUGAAGUUUGAUUUGUCAACGUACCUCGAAGCGUACAGUGAAAUGUAUCAUUUGCGUCAGCAACCAUCACAGUCCGAGGAUGUGCUGGGGGCAGCCCACAAGUGUCAGCAUGCCUCCAAUGCCAACAGAGCAUGUCCACUACUUACUUACCCUAACUUGUACAUCUUUGGAAUGCGGGAGGAAACCAGAGCACCCAGAGGAAACCACGUGGUCUUUGAAAGAACAUACAACCUCCUUACAGACAGUGGCAGGAAUUGAACACUGAUUGCUGAAGCUGUAAUAGCAUUACAUUAACCUCUAUACUACCAUACUGUCCAAUCUAACUAACCUCACCUACUUGGACAGAGACCAAAUCCCCUCCUUUCCCUGAAUAUCCAUGUUUCUGUCCAAAUACCUCAUAAAAUACCAUAGGACAUCAUAGUACUGUUGUGGUUAGUGCACUGGAGUUUGGAGUUCAAUUCAUGUGCACCUGCAAGGAGUUAGUAUGCUCUCCCAGUGAGUGCAUGGGUUUCCUCCGGGUGCUCUGGAUUCCUCCCACAGUCCAAAGAUGUACUGGUGAGUAUGUUAGUUUGUAAAUUGUCCUGUAUUUAGGCUAGGGUUAAAUAUAGGUGGGUUUCUGGGCGGUACAGCUCAUAAGGCUGGAAGGGGCUGUUCCACCUGUAUCUCUAAAUGAAAUAAAAUAGAAUAAAUAUUUAUCAGAAUCGUAGCAACCCUGAUGGAAAAUCUGGCCGAUCAGUGAUGAGACCUCUUAUUGAAGCAAGUGAGGCGCCAACUUCCCCCAAAAUCUUAUGCCAGGAGUAUUCUCUCCACUGGUCUUACCUCUUAACCAAUAGUAUUUUAGUAACUAUACAAUGGGCUGUACUAAUUCCAGCUGCUCAACUUCCCUCCUUAACUAACUACAGGAGGCGCUGCCUCAGGAAGGCAAUAUCCAUCAUCAGAGAUUGCCACCAUCUGAGUGAGAAGAUGUGGCAUCGGGCAGGAGGUACAGAAGCCUAAAACCCCACACCACCAGGUUCAAGAACAGAGACUUCCCUUCAACUAUUCAGUUCUUGGACCGGCCAACACAAACCUUAUCACUACCUUAGUAAAACAAAAGAAACAGGAGCAGAAAUAAGCUGUCUGGCCUAUCGGGCCUGCUCCAUCAAUCAAUUAGAUCAAUGCGCUGAUCUGGCCGUAGACUCAGCUCCAUCUACCUACCUUUUCCCCAGGGUGGAGGCUACGUAGCAUCCAUGCCUGGACCACCAGACUCAAAAACAGUUAUUUUCCCCAAGCAGUAAGGGUAAUCAACACCUCCACCCACUAACCCACCCCUCCACACCCCUAACCACCACUACUUUAUCAUUUCCCAUCAGACAUUUUUA